AACGAACGCUGGCGGCAUGCCUAACACAUGCAAGUAGAACGAGACCUUCGGGUCUAGUGGCGCACGGGUGCGUAACGCGUGGGAACCUGCCCUUAGGUUCGGAAUAACUCCCCGAAAGGGGUGCUAAUACCGGAUAAUGUCUUCGGACCAAAGAUUUAUCGCCUUUGGAUGGGCCCGCGUUGGAUUAGCUAGUUGGUAGGGUAAAAGCCUACCAAGGCGACGAUCCAUAGCUGGUCUGAGAGGAUGAUCAGCCACACUGGGACUGAGACACGGCCCAGACUCCUACGGGAGGCAGCAGUGGGGAAUAUUGGACAAUGGGCGAAAGCCUGAUCCAGCAAGGCCGCGUGAGUGAUGAAGGCCUUAGGGUUGUAAAGCUCUUUUACCCGGGAUGAUAAUGACAGUACCGGGAGAAUAAGCUCCGGCUAACUCCGUG
rnacentral:rRNA from 1 species